rnacentral:rRNA from 1 species
UCCUACGGGAGGCAGCAGUAGGGAAUAUUGGUCAAUGGACGAAAGUCUGAACCAGCCAUGCCGCGUGCAGGAUGAAUGCCCUCUGGGUUGUAAACUGCUUUUAUAUGCCAAGAAACCUCCUCACGUGUGGGGAGCUGACGGUAGCAUACGAAUAAGGAUCGGCUAACUCCGUGCCAGCAGCCGCGGUAAUACGGAGGAUCCAAGCGUUGUCCGGAUUUAUUGGGUUUAAAGGGUACGUAGGUGGGCUAUUAAGUCAGUGGUGAAAGCCUACAGCUUAACUGUAGAAUUGCCAUUGAAACUGGUAGCCUUGAGUGUGGUUGAGGUGGUUGGAAUACAUCAUGUAGCGGU